GGCAGCAGUGAGGAAUAUUGGUCAAUGGACGAGAGUCUGAACCAGCCAAGUAGCGUGCAGGAUGACGGCCCUAUGGGUUGUAAACUGCUUUUAUAAGGGAAUAAAGUGAGUCUCGUGAGACUUUUUGCAUGUACCUAGAAU
rnacentral:rRNA from 1 species